rnacentral:rRNA from 1 species
GACGAACUGUGCAAACGUUAUUCGGAAUCACUGGGCUUAAAGGGUGCGUAGGCGGUCUUGUAAGUAGGGUGUGAAAGCCCCCGGCUCAACCGGGGAACUGCGUCCUAAACUGCGAGGCUAGAGUGAGGUAGGGGUGUGUGGAACUUCCAGUGGAGCGGUGAAAUGUGUUGAUAUUGGAAGGAACGCCGGUGGCGAAAGCGACACACUGGACCUUGUCUGACGUUGAGGCACGAAAGCCAGGGGAGCAAACGGG